rnacentral:lncRNA from 1 species
UUCUUCCUUUCAACAAUCCUAUUUUGUUGGGGAGUUCUAGGAGGAAAAAAAAUAUAAGUUAUACCAUGAUGGAAGAGGCUUCGAGGAGUUGACCUUUCGGAGCGGUGUGAACACUAAUCGAAGGCCUCGAAGCUUCUCCAGAGAGAAAUGGCGCAACAGAAAUGUUGAAUAAACCUAUUGAUCGAGAGAGAAUUCGGAAGAAACUCUAAAAUCAGAGAGGAUUUGAAUCUAAGAACCCUAAAAUUAGAGAAGAACAUGAAAAUCUCUAAUCUGGACCGGUUGAACCCUAGAAAUGGGGAGAGACGCAAAAUGAACCGAUUAAUCGGUUCAAAACACAGAUUAAACGGUUGAAAUGUAUUAGAUCGGAGCAAAGGAUGGAUCAAUUGGUGGAAAACGAAGGAAAUGUUCGAACAGAUGUAGAUCGAAACGUUUAGGGUUUGAGCAAAGGAAAUCUGAGUAGAGAAAGGUGUUUCAGUGAGCAAAUGGAGAGGAAAAUGAUAAUGAAGAAGUGAAGAAGCUUACGGCUGAUGAGAGCUCUCGAGAGGAAGAUGCUCUCUUGAAGGAGACGCUAUGAAUAAAACUGAGAGAAUGAGUGAUGUGUGUCUGAAGCGCGAGAUGGAAAUUGCCUCAGCUGAUGACGCUGACACGUUGACGCAAGCGAGGUGAUAUGUGGCAGUGAAGGAGUGGCCGACGGUGGAUGAGAGAGAAGCAAGGUGGAGUAAUUGGAAAAUGAAAAAUAAGAAGUGUGCUUUGAAAGGUGGCUAGAGGUCUUUGGACUCUCUAGCCUGUGACUUUCAAGAGAGAAUAAUUUUCUGAAUUAGAAAAGUUUAUUCUCAUCAAUCUCAAAAGUGGAAAAUACAAUGAGGAGCUGGGUAUUUAUAGUGACCCAUGCUCCUUGCAAGCUACACUACAGAUACAAUAAAAUGUAAAAUUAAGAAAAAGAGGACUACGUCAGGGAGGAUUCCAUCA